rnacentral:rRNA from 1 species
UACAGGGGGUGCAAACGUUGCUCGGAAUCAUUGGGCGUAAAGCGCACGUAGGCGGUCUGUUAUGUCGGAUGUGAAAGCCCUUGGCUCAACUGAGGAAGUGCAUCCGAAACUGGCAGGCUAGAGUACUAAAGAGGAUCGCGGAAUUCCCGGUGUAGAGGUGAAAUUCGUAGAUAUCGGGAGGAACACCGGUGGCGAAGGCGGCGACCUGGGUAGAUACUGACGCUGAGGUGCGAAAGCGUGGGGAGCAAACAGG